CACACGCCACGUGGGCAUAACAUUCGCAUGUCUACAUGCGACCGUUCGUCGUGCACUUGGCGAUCCAUCACGAUCAUUCAUAUCGCAUACUGAUCGAACGAACUAUCUAAAGGAACGGUUUCUCUAUUGUCCCAAUUUCGUUUGGCCUUUGCUUCCUGAGCUUGAACUCAAAUCCUAUUGGUGGUCUCGAAUGGUCUCCUUAUUCUAUCCCUCAUACUAUAUUACUACUACUAUCCAUCAUCAACGGUGGUAGCUCGUGCACAAUCAGGAAGGGAGAAAGGAACCUGUUAUCUCUUCUCGACCUAACAGUAACCAAUCGAGUCAGUUCUAGAAAGAGGAGCGGCUAUAGGAAAGGAGGCCUGAGGGAGGAGGUAAGCGGGAGGCGGCAAUAUUGUGCCGUGUGACAACAUUGUGCCGUGUGACAACAGAUUCGUACGAAGUUCCUCUCGGUAUUACUCACGGAUCACGGCAGGAUUUAACAUUUCGGUGUGUGCGGGGUGUGUGUUUGUUUGGUGAGCUACGGAAUGGGACGAUAGUACUGGUCCUGUGAUGAACCGAACCCGGAUCGGAGCCGGCUAUCGCACGGCUUAUAGUUGAACCUUGCAUUGUUAGCGUUUGCAUCAGCGGAAGUAGUAGUAGUAGUAGUGGAAGAAGUAGCAUUUCAGGUAAGCGUAAGUAGUUGACAAAUUCGCAUUCGCAUUCACGGAGCGUGAUGAUCGCGGAGCGAGUUGCAUAAAGAGACAACAGACAGGAAAUAGACAUUGAAAUAGAUAACAUUUAUGGUAUCAGGGCAGAGGGUAUAGAGCUAGAGAGUUGGUAAAAUGAUAUGAAGAACCAUGAAGCGUGGAAUGUUCGCGUUCGGCCAGAGGCUACAGAAAACGGUAGAAACCCACUAGGUGGAACUAACGAAUGAACGAACGAACGCACAACACAUCUCGCAAGCGAUUCCCAGAACAGGGAGUUCUUGUUUUAUGUAGAAACAGAACGUGCAGCAGGGUGCUUAACACACAGUCACAACAAACAACAUCCAUCGGUCACAACAUCUAAGUCAAGAAGCAAUGAGUAAACACCCCUAGAGGUAUGGGGUAUGUACAGCAGAGUGUGUUUGAAAAACGGACUGACGGUGCAGGGGAAUUGUCUGGUGCAAAACCUACCCAACAUCAAUCGAUGGAUACAACACAUCAUCACAAGACCCAUAAAACAAAAAUUAAGGACCAGGAUAACAGUAACGAGGUGUCGAAGCGUAAAACAAAACAAAAAUAAAUCGACAAAAAACCUCACGCAUUGCAAUAGCAAUUCUACCAUCAAUCGUACGGUGCAACUUAGCACUCGACACAUGGCCGGCCAGUGAACGACGAUAAAGAUGAACCCGUUACAGUAACCUGCAGUGCGAUAGUCUCUUCCGAAACGAAGAGCCAGAUGCAACGCUUCCAUUCGCCGUAUCGUCAACGACGGCAAGUACUUACUUCGGUGCUAUGUCAUUAUAGCGAGGAUCACGGCUAUGCGAGGGACUGCCUUCCUCGUAGUAGAUCUCACGACGAUCGCGAGACUCUCGGCGGCGGUCCUGCUUCUUGCGACGCUUGUUCUUUGGUCCGCUUUUCUACUUGUUAGGGGUGUCUUAAAUACAAUUCAACUCUUUGGAUAACGGUUGGCAUGCAGAGUGGAGAGUCUGAAACCUUGUGCAACAAUUGUGAAGGAAGAAUGAAGGUGAACUGUUGCUGAAUUGGCACUUACGAUUCUA